UCUUUUGUUUCUUUUCGGAUCCCCAGUGGUGUUGUACAUACUCAGAAUUUUAGAGACUCAAAACACACCACAAGUACAGCUGAAAAGCUUGAAAAACUUUACCGAAAGAGUCAAAAUAGUAUGUUAGAUCAUGUAUGUGUUGAAUCAGGAGUACAUCUCAUCUAAAUUAGGAAAAAAAUAAAUUCAAAUAUUCUGGAAGUAAUGAGAUCAUUGAGCCUGUGGUGUACUUACACUAUUCUGAUGAACCUGCGUAUCUGCAAAGUUAGACAUGCUUGUGAGAAACAUUUAUAUGACGUCACUAAGUUGUUUUCAACAGUCAAGAUAAUCUGGAGGUGGGGGGAAAAUAGGAGAUAAUUCAUUUGUCAGACUAACUGUUGUCAGAGUCCUGUCCCUAGAUGAAUUGAUAAGAAGCCAAAGGCAAAAUGAGGAAGUACCAUGAGGCUCUGAGUGUUUUAAAAAGAGAGGUGGCUUCUAACUGGGAAGAUCAAAAAAAGCAUCAUUAAAGAGCUGGUAUUUGAACAGAGGAAGGAUCAAUGAGACCGAAGUUCCAAGGAGUUAUGUGUCUUAUCCAUAUGUCAGUUAGCUAAGUAAAUGGCAGAACUAGGACUCUCUAUUCUGUUCUCUAACUUUUCCAUCAUCAGCCUUUAGACCUUCAACUGAUUGGAUAAGGCGCACUAACAGUGGGGAGGACAGUCUUCUUUACCAGGUCUGCUGAUUCAAGUGUUAAUCUCAUCCAAAACAUCCUCUCAGACACACCCAGCAUAACGUUUGACCAAAUAUCUGCUGAUCCCAUGGCCCAGUCAAGUUGACACAGAAAAUAAACCAUCACUGCU